rnacentral:rRNA from 1 species
AUUGAACGCUGGCGGCAUGCCUUACACAUGCAAGUCGAACGGCAGCACGGGAGCAAUCCUGGUGGCGAGUGGCGAACGGGUGAGUAACGCAUCGGAACGUGCCCAGUCGUGGGGGAUAACGUAGAGAAAUUUACGCUAAUACCGCAUACGAUCUAUGGAUGAAAGCAGGGGAUCGCAAGACCUUGCGCGAUUGGAGCGGCCGAUGUCAGAUUAGGUAGUUGGUGGGGUAAAGGCCCACCAAGCCGACGAUCUGUAGCUGGUCUGAGAGGACGACCAGCCACACAGGGAAUGAGACACGGCCCAGACUCCUACGGGAGGCAGCAGUGGGGAAUUUUGGACAAUGGGCGAAAGCCUGAUCAGCCAUGCCGCGUGCAGGAUGAAGGCAUUCGGGUUGUAAACUGCUUUUGUACGGAACGAAAAGCUCUGGGUUAAUACCCUGGGGUCAUGACGGUACCGUAAGAAUAAGCACCGGCUAACUACGUGCCAGCCGCCGCCGUAACAC